GUGACUGGACAUGUGCCUGAAGUUCCAUUGCUAGUAUCAUAAACAGUUGAGUAAAAAAAUUUUCUAAAUUAAUAAUCAAUUCCUACUGUUGAAUAAGCACUUCUUCCAGCAUACUUAAUAUCCCAAGCAACAGAGGCAAACCUUUAUUUUAGCUACAUUUAUGAUCAUGGAGGGCCUGUGCCAUGGUUAGGUGGACACUGUUCUAACUACAAAAAUAUCUAAAGAAAUGAUGAACUGCGUACCUGUGGGAUGUGGCCUCCUCCUCAGAAGGUUAGCCCGCACUCAGAGGGCGUUCAUUCUUCCUGGGGACUUGUUUGUGUAUUCUUACUCCUGCUUGCUCACUUGUUUGCAUCUUGCCUGUGCCACAGUUUUCUGUGUCUCCUUCCAGGCUGAUCAGUGCUGAGGGAAGGAUACAUGGAGGAUUAAUAAUU